ACUGCUUUUCAGAGUCCACCUGGCCAUCGGGGCAGGCGAGGGCCCUGAGGAGCCCUGAGGAGCCCUGCUCUCUCCCAGAAAAGAUCCCGCACCAUCCUCCAGGAUCCAAUGGCCUUGGAGAGAGGGCUGCAGGGCCCACGGACAUUGCUGACUCUUCAGAACGUGCUGACAUGGAGCCAGGUAGACUGAAAUUACCAUGUGUCCAAAUUAAAAUUGCAUACUUCAAGGAUUAUUUGAAGGACUAUUCUUAGACCCUUUUAAGAAGAUUUAAAGAAAAACCACUCGGCCCUGAGUGCGGCGAGGACCCUGUUUGUGGAUGUGGAGGAGCGCGGGCCGGAGGCCAUGGACGUGAAGGAGAGGAAGCCUUACCGCUCGCUGACCCGGCGCCGCGACGCCGAGCGCCGCUACACCAGCUCGUCCGCGGACAGCGAGGAGGGCAAAGCCCCGCAGAAAUCCUACAGCUCCAGCGAGACCCUGAAGGCCUACGACCAGGACGCCCGCCUAGCCUAUGGCAGCCGCGUCAAGGACAUUGUGCCGCAGGAGGCCGAGGAAUUCUGCCGCACAGGUGCCAACUUCACCCUGCGGGAGCUGGGGCUGGAAGAAGUAACGCCCCCUCACGGGACCCUGUACCGGACAGACAUUGGCCUCCCCCACUGCGGCUACUCCAUGGGGGCUGGCUCUGAUGCCGACAUGGAGGCUGACACGGUGCUGUCCCCUGAGCACCCCGUGCGUCUGUGGGGCCGGAGCACACGGUCAGGGCGCAGCUCCUGCCUGUCCAGCCGGGCCAAUUCCAAUCUCACACUCACCGACACCGAGCACGAAAACACUGAGACUGGUGAGUGGCUGGUUUGGUCUGUGCCGGGUGCCUGGGUGGUGGGGCUGGGGUUUUAUUUACAAUAUUGAUUUCCUGCUCCACUGCCGGGGCUCUGGGGAAGUUGGUGAAAAAUUGCUUUACUCUCAGGGGUCAAAUGUCA
rnacentral:sRNA from 1 species